CCUACGGGUGGCAGCAGUGAGGAAUAUUGGUCAAUGGACGAGAGUCUGAACCAGCCAAGUAGCGUGAAGGAUGACUGCCCUAUGGGUUGUAAACUUCUUUUAUAAAGGAAUAAAACGAGGCACGUGUGCCUUUUUGCAUGUACUUUAUGAAUAAGGAUCGGCUAACUCCGUGCCAGCAGCCGCGGUAAUACGGAGGAUCCGAGCGUUAUCCGGAUUUAUUGGAUUUAAAGGGAGCGUAGAUGGGGUGUUAAGUCAGUUGUGAAAGUUUGCGGCUCAACCGUAAAAUUGCAAUUGAUACUGGCAGUCGUGAGUACAGUGGAGGUAGGCGGAAUUCGUGGUGUAGCGGUGAAAUGCUUAGAUAUCACGAAGAACCCCGAUUGCGAAGGCAGCUUACUAAACUGUGACUGACAUUGAUGCUCGAAAGUGUGGGUAUCAAACAGGAUUAGAUACCCGAGUAGUC
rnacentral:rRNA from 1 species